UUUGGAGGGCAAGUCUGGUGCCAGCAGCCGCGGUAAUUCCAGCUCCAAUAGCGUAUAUUAAAGUUGUUGCAGUUAAAAAGCUCGUAGUUGAAUUUCGGGAUUGGCGCAUCGGUCGUGCCUCACGGGGUAUGAACUGGUGCAGUCAAUUUCUCACCUUCUGGAGAACCGCGAUGUCCUUAAUUGGAUGCCGCGGGGAACCAGGACCUUUACUUUGAAAAAAUUAGA
rnacentral:rRNA from 1 species